AUGAACGCUGGCGGCGUGCUUAACACAUGCAAGUCGAACGGAACUACUCCAAUGAGAGUCUUCGGAAAGGAUUUGGUUUGGUUUAGUGGCGGACGGGUGAGUAACGCGUGGGUAACCUGCCCUAUACAGGGGGAUAACAGUUGGAAACGACUGUUAAUACCGCAUAAGCGCACAGGAGCGCAUGCUCCGGUGUGAAAAACUCCGGUGGUAUAGGAUGGACCCGCGUCUGAUUAGCUGGUUGGCGGGGUAACGGCCCACCAAGGCGACGAUCAGUAGCCGGCCUGAGAGGGUGAACGGCCACAUUGGGACUGAGACACGGCCCAAACUCCUACGGGAGGCAGCAGUGGGGAAUAUUGCACAAUGGGGGAAACCCUGAUGCAGCGACGCCGCGUGAGCGAAGAAGUAUCUCGGUAUGUAAAGCUCUAUCAGCAGGGAAGAAAAUGACGGUACCUGACUAAGAAGCCCCGGCUAACUACGUG
rnacentral:rRNA from 1 species